GACGAACGCUGGCGGCGUGCUUAACACAUGCAAGUCGAACGGAAAGGCCCUGCUUGCAGGGUACUCGAGUGGCGAACGGGUGAGUAACACGUGGGUGAUCUGCCCUGCACUUCGGGAUAAGCCUGGGAAACUGGGUCUAAUACCGGAUAGGAGCCAUUUUUCGUGUGAUGGUUGGAAAGUUUUUUCGGUGUAGGAUGAGCUCGCGGCCUAUCAGCUUGUUGGUGGGGUAAUGGCCUAGCAAGGCGGCGACGGGUAGCCGGCCUGAGAGGGUGGCCGGCCACAUUGGGACUGAGAUACGGCCCAGACUCCUACGGGAGGCAGCAGUGGGGAAUAUUGCACAAUGGGCGCAAGCCUGAUGCAGCGACGCCGCGUGGGGGAUGACGGCCUUCGGGUUGUAAACUCCUUUCGCUAGGGACGAAGCUUUUUGGGACGGUACCGAGAUAAGAAGCACCGGCUAACUACGU
rnacentral:rRNA from 1 species